AGAGUUUGAUCCUGGCUCAGGAUGAACGCUGGCGGCGUGCCUAAUACAUGCAAGUCGAGCGAACGGACGAGAAGCUUGCUUCUCUGAUGUUAGCGGCGGACGGGUGAGUAACACGUGGAUAACCUACCUAUAAGACUGGGAUAACUUCGGGAAACCGGAGCUAAUACCGGAUAAUAUUUUGAACCGCAUGGUUCAAAAGUGAAAGACGGUCUUGCUGUCACUUAUAGAUGGAUCCGCGCUGCAUUAGCUAGUUGGUAAGGUAACGGCUUACCAAGGCAACGAUGCAUAGCCGACCUGAGAGGGUGAUCGGCCACACUGGAACUGAGACACGGUCCAGACUCCUACGGGAGGCAGCAGUAGGGAAUCUUCCGCAAUGGGCGAAAGCCUGACGGAGCAACGCCGCGUGAGUGAUGAAGGUCUUCGGAUCGUAAAACUCUGUUAUUAGGGAAGAACAUAUGUGUAAGUAACUGUGCACAUCUUGACGGUACCUAAUCAGAAAGCCACGGCUAACUACGUGCCAGCAGCCGCGGUAAUACGUAGGUGGCAAGCGUUAUCCGGAAUUAUUGGGCGUAAAGCGCGCGUAGGCGGUUUUUUAAGUCUGAUGUGAAAGCCCACGGCUCAACCGUGGAGGGUCAUUGGAAACUGGAAAACUUGAGUGCAGAAGAGGAAAGUGGAAUUCCAUGUGUAGCGGUGAAAUGCGCAGAGAUAUGGAGGAACACCAGUGGCGAAGGCGACUUUCUGGUCUGUAACUGACGCUGAUGUGCGAAAGCGUGGGGAUCAAACAGGAUUAGAUACCCUGGUAGUCCACGCCGUAAACGAUGAGUGCUAAGUGUUAGGGGGUUUCCGCCCCUUAGUGCUGCAGCUAACGCAUUAAGCACUCCGCCUGGGGAGUACGACCGCAAGGUUGAAACUCAAAGGAAUUGACGGGGACCCGCACAAGCGGUGGAGCAUGUGGUUUAAUUCGAAGCAACGCGAAGAACCUUACCAAAUCUUGACAUCCUUUGACAACUCUAGAGAUAGAGCCUUCCCCUUCGGGGGACAAAGUGACAGGUGGUGCAUGGUUGUCGUCAGCUCGUGUCGUGAGAUGUUGGGUUAAGUCCCGCAACGAGCGCAACCCUUAAGCUUAGUUGCCAUCAUUAAGUUGGGCACUCUAAGUUGACUGCCGGUGACAAACCGGAGGAAGGUGGGGAUGACGUCAAAUCAUCAUGCCCCUUAUGAUUUGGGCUACACACGUGCUACAAUGGACAAUACAAAGGGCAGCGAAACCGCGAGGUCAAGCAAAUCCCAUAAAGUUGUUCUCAGUUCGGAUUGUAGUCUGCAACUCGACUACAUGAAGCUGGAAUCGCUAGUAAUCGUAGAUCAGC
rnacentral:rRNA from 9 species